UCUUCUAAUUCUUUAUCUGUUUGAUAUGUUUCUUCUUUUUGAGAGUUUCUCAAAUAUUUUCUAAUUCCCUCUAUGGUGUUCACAUAUUCAAAGUGUGAGUUUCGUUCUGGUCAGUUUUUCCUUGCAUCUGUUUUAUUGUUUGUUGCACCGUUUUAGUUGCUAAUCGCUAUCUGCUGGGUAUAUAUUAGUCUCCUACUCUCUCUCUCUCUCACUCCCUUUUUGGAUUCUUUUUGGUAUCUGAUAUUCUCAUACAUGUUUGGUAUCUGAUCCUUAGUGCAACAAAGAUUGAAGAUUGUUUUCCCUGAUUACAUUUUGCAUCUCUAACUUUUUAUGGAGGUGAUUCAAUCCUCACUGAUCAGUGAUCUUUAGGAGAUUUUUUUUUGCUGGUGAUUUCUUCCCAUCUUUAUUGACAUAUUAAUUAGACCUGCUAGAAUUUGAGAGAAACAAAUGUUGGGUGAGCGUAUAACAUUAAUUGAGAUUUUUCUGUUAUUAAUAUCUGUUAUUAUUUGUGAUGUUUCGAUUGAGUUUAUUUUGGUAAUUAAGUGGCUUACUGUUGAAGAACCAUGCAUUCAAUUAUUCAAAUCCAUCAACUUACUUUCUUUAACUUUGCAUAAUUUCUUUUGUAAUUUGAUUCUGCGACUUAACUGAUUUUUUUUUAAUUUCUCGAAGGAUCAGAAUCAGUACUAAAAUGAUCUUCUUUAGAAAGUAGUCUCACUGGCAUAUUGUUUAUGUGAGUGAUUAUUUUUUACUUUUUUCUGUGAGUGAUUAUUCUAAAUUGAUCUUACUGAGAUGAAGUGGGUUAAUAAUUGCUACAAUUUCUAGUGAUCUUGGACAAAAGUUGCUCUCAAUGACAGCUGAAGAAAUCUACACAACAAUUUUCGUCAAGAUGAAGAUCCUCUGCGUUAAGCAUGUCCAAGAACAACCGUCAGACCAACUGUUUCGAAUUCAAUUGAAAAAAAUAUUCUGGAGAAAUUAUGACAACUUGCAUGCUAGCUAGACUAUUGGGUUUAUCUUAUAUUGAAAAAGUAACAUAUCUUUCCAACAAGUUCUGGUGAAAGAAACAAAAGGAAAUGAAGUUUCCAAGCACAGUUGGACGAGAAAUGGAAGAAGCAGUUACAAAAUCUGAAAUUACACGUGACGCUGAAACUAGAACCACCAACAAGAAUAUAUAGAAGAUAAGCCAUGUUUAGUAUUUUUAGAUCAAAAUUCUUGGUUAGCCAAACUUCAGCUUAUGAAGCUUGAUUAUCAUAUGAAUUCUUUAGAUACAAUGUUCGUAAUAACCUCUAAUGUAGUUAGAUCUUUAGCUAUUCUUAUCAAGUAUAACUAUCAUAAAAUCCUUCUGAUUUUUCUGACUA